UGUAGCUACUGAUCCUAUACUACAGCAGAGAGGGUGAGAGCGUGAGGGAGGAGGGACAUCAGGUGUCACUGCUCUGCAACCCCAGUUGAGGCUGCAUUACCAAGACAACCAGCUCCAGGAGUGCUGCCAGCUCUCUGCCCGACCAGCCAUCCAGAUAUCUUCACAUCCAUCCCUCUGCCCAGCCUGCGAAUCCGGCCCUGCCCUGCACAGACCUGGCAACCUGCAGGAGUCAUCAGGGUUAGUGCGCCUUUGGCACGCCUCUGUGCCAGAAUCGUCUGCCAGCAUCAGGCAGGAACUUGUUUCGGGGGGAAAAAAAGACAAAGACGAUGCUUGUGAAGAAUAAACUCAUCCCAUAAAGAUUUAGAUAGAUUCAGAUUCAGAAGUUAUCCCAGAUGUAGCGAUGAUAAGGAGGAAAGGGAUACUCUUCCCCCGGGGAGGAUGCAGUGAGAUGGAAACACUUUUCUGCUUUCCGAAAGGAGAACUUCUCCCACCAUCGGGGCGCCAUCUGCUGGUUCUGGUGGGGCGGGACAGCUGGUGUUGUGAAUCAGGCCGCCGAAAUCCAAGGACCGGCUACUUCCCAACACCAGGGUCCCACCCUCACCCCUCACAUCCUCACAUGAUUGACCUCAGUCUCAAAGGACUUCCUCAUUGUAUAUGCUCUCUUGUGUUGGAUGUAAUGAUGAUUCAUUAAUUGUACUAGUCCAAAUCUGUGUGAUGUAUAUUUCCUAUGCAUUGUAUCCUGUCAAAUUAUGAAUUGCCAAAAAAGUUAAUUAAAUAUACCAAAUAAAAAUGUUAAACUAUGUCACUCCACAUUAACACAUUUAACAUGGAUAAUACCAUAUGUUUGUAGUUAACAGUAUUUCCCCAAAUAAAGAAAUUAAAUAUAAUUUUUUUUUAAA